rnacentral:rRNA from 1 species
GCCUAAUACAUGCAAGUCGCACGGGAUUCAGGGUAGCAAUAUCUUGAUGAGAGUGGCGCACGGGUGCGUAACACGUAUGCAAUCUACCUUUUAACUGGGGAAUAGCUCACCGAAAGGUGAAUUAAUACCGCAUAAAAUCACAGAAGGACAUCCUUCAAUGAUUAAACCUACGGGGGUUAAAGAUGAGCAUGCGUCCCAUUAGCUAGUUGGUGAGGUAACGGCUCACCAAGGCAACGAUGGGUAGGGGUUCUGAGAGGAUGAUCCCCCACACUGGUACUGAGACACGGACCAGACUCCUACGGGAGGCAGCAGUGAGGAAUAUUGGACAAUGGGCGAAAGCCUGAUCCAGCCAUGCCGCGUGCAGGAAGAAGGCCUUCUGGGUUGUAAACUGCUUUUAUAUAAGAAGAAACCCCUCUACGUGUAGAGGUCUGACGGUACUAUAUGAAUAAGCAUCGGCUAACUCCGUGCCAGCAGCCGCGGUAAUACGGAGGAUCCAAGCGUUAUCCGGAUUUAUUGGGUUUAAAGGGUGCGUAGGCGGAUUAAUAAGUCAGUGGUGAAAGCCUGCAGCUUAACUGUAGAAUUGCCAUUGAAACUAUUAAUCUUGAGUUCAGUUGAGGUGGGCGGAAUGUGUCAUGUAGCGGUGAAAUGCUUAGAUAUGACACAGAACACCGAUUGCGAAGGCAGCUCGCUAAACUGAUACUGACGCUGAGGCACGAAAGCGUGGGGAGCGAACAGGAUUAGAUACCCUGGUAGUCCACGCCCUAAACGAUGAUUACUCGAUGUGUGCGAUACACAGUACGCGUCUAAGCGAAAGCGUUAAGUAAUCCACCUGGGAAGUACGUUCGCAAGAAUGAAACUCAAAGGAAUUGACGGGGGCCCGCACAAGCGGAGGAGCAUGUGGUUUAAUUCGAUGAUACGCGAGGAACCUUACCUGGGCUAGAAUGCAUUUUGACCGUCUGGGAAACCGGCAGCUCUUCGGAACACGAAGCAAGGUGCUGCAUGGUUGUCGUCAGCUCGUGCCGUGAGGUGUUGGGUUAAGUCCCGCAACGAGCGCAACCCCUAUCCUUAGUUGCCAUCAGGUAAUGCUGGGGACUCUAAGGAGACUGCCCGCGCAAGCGGUGAGGAAGGCGGGGAUGACGUCAAAUCAUCAUGGCCUUUAUGCCUAGGGCUACACACGUGCUACAAUGGCCGGUACAAUGGGCUGCCACAUGGUAACAUGGAGCUAAUCCUUAAAACCGGCCUCAGUUCGGAUUGAGGUCUGCAACUCGACCUCAUGAAGCUGGAUUCGCUAGUAAUCGUAGAUCAGCAAUGCUACGGUGAAUACGUUCCCGGGCCUUGCACACACCGCCCGUCAC